rnacentral:rRNA from 1 species
UCAAGCUAAAAAGAGCGCAGGGUGGAUGCCUUGGCACUAAGAGCCGAUGAAAGACGUGAUAAGCUGCGAUAAGCUACGGGGAGGAGCACAUAUCCAUUGAUCCGUAGAUUUCUGAAUGGGGAAACCCGGCUGAGCAUACCUCAGUCACCGUGCACUGAAUCCAUAGGUGUACGGAGGGAACCCGGUGAACUGAAACAUCUAAGUAGCCGGAGGAAGAGAAAGAAAACUCGAUUUUCAAAGUAGCGGCGAGCGAAAUGGAAAGAGCCCAAACCGGAGUGCGUGCACUCCGGGGUUCGGACUGCAUUUAUGACUUCUGACUGUAGCGGAACGGUUCUGGAAAGACCGGCCAGAGAGGGUGAGAGCCCCGUAGGCGAAACGGAAAGAAGCAGAGCAGGAUCCAGAGUACCACGAGACACGAGAAACCUUGUGGGAAUAAGCGGGGACCACCCCGUAAGGCUAAAUACUCCUUAGUGACCGAUAGAGCAGAGUACUGUGAAGGAAAGGUGAAAAGGACCCCGGGAGGGGAGUGAAAGAGAACCUGAAACCCUGUGUUUACAAACUGUGGAAGUACCAUACGAGUACAACCGCGUACUUUUUGUAGAACGGUCCGGCGAGUUACGUUUACUGGCGAGGUUAAGCACUUAAGGUGCGGAGCCGAAGGGAUACCAAGUCUUAACAGGGCGUAAAGUCAGUGUACGUAGACCCGAAACCGGGUGAUCUACCCAUGUCCAGGCUGAAGUUGCCGUAAAAGGCAAUGGAGGGCCGAACGCACAUCCGUUGAAAAGGGUGGCGAUGAGGUGUGGGUAGGGGAGAAAUUCCAAUCGAACCCGGAGAUAGCUGGUUCUCCUCGAAAUAGCUUUAGGGCUAGCCUCGUGUUAACCUUGUGGAGGUAGAGCACUGAAUAUCCUAGGGGGCGUCAAAGUCUACCGAAGAUUAUCAAACUCCGAAUGCCAUAAAGGUGAUGCACGGGAGUCAGACUGCACGAGAUAAGUUGGGUGGUCAAAAGGGAAAGAGCCCAGACCUACAGCUAAGGUCCCAAAGUGCGUGUUAAGUGGAAAAGGAUGUGGGAUUUCGAAGACAACUAGGAUGUUGGCUCAGAAGCAGCCAUACAUUCAAAGAGUGCGUAAUAGCUCACUAGUCGAGAGGUCCUGCGCCGAAAAUGUCCGGGGCUGAAACACGACACCGAAGCUUAGGACUCCAUUUAGGAGUGGUAGAGGAGCAUUGUUAGCGCAGCGAAGCUGUACCGAUAAGGAGCAGUGGAGUGCUAAGAAGAGAGAAUGCCGGAAUGAGUAGCGAGAGGAAGGUGAGAAUCCUUCCGGCCGAAUAUCCAAGGUUUCCAGAGUAAAGCUGAUCUGCUCUGGGUAAGUCGGGGCCUAAGGCGAGGUCGAAAGACGUAGUCGAUGGAUAACAGGUGGAGAUUCCUGUACUAUGUGUACCCAGAAAUGUGGGGACGCAUGUGGAGAGCACGAGCCGGGAAAGAGAAGACCGGUACAAGCGGGGUAGGAGUAAGGACAGCAAAUCUUCCUUACAAUCCGAAGACGUAAUGUGGACCGAACCAAAGUAGGGAAGCGUGUGAGCCAUGUGCCAAGAAAAGCCGCUAUUGUGAUACACAUACCCGUACCGUAAACCGACACAGGUGGAUGAGGAGAGAAUCCUAAGGCCGACGGAAGAAGCAUUGUUAAGGAACUCGGCAAAAUGACCCCGUAACUUCGGGAGAAGGGGUGCCCUGUGAAAGCAGGGCCGCAGAGAAUAGGCUCAAGCAACUGUUUAGCAAAAACACAGGUCUAUGCGAAACCGAAAGGUGAGGUAUAUGGGCUGACGCCUGCCCGGUGCUGGAAGGUUAAGAGGAGAAGUCAGGCAACGAAGCUUCGAAUUUAAGCCCCAGUAAACGGCGGCCGUAACUAUAACGGUCCUAAGGUAGCGAAAUUCCUUGUCGGGUAAGUUCCGACCC